rnacentral:rRNA from 1 species
GACGAACGCUGGCGGCGUGCUUAACACAUGCAAGUCGAACGGGCCCGCUCUCUUUUUUGGGGGUGGGUUGAGUGGCGAACGGGUGAGUAUCACGUGAGUAACCUGCCCCCUGCUCCUGGAUAACUGCUUGAAAGGGCGGCUAAUACGGGGUGUGCCGGCUGGUCCGCAUGGGCCUGGUCGGGAUAGUUUCAUCUUCGGGUGUUUCGGUGGGGGAUGGGCUCGCGGCCUAUCAGCUUGUUGGUGGGGUGAUGGCCCACCAAGGCGGUGACGGGUAGCCGGCCUGAGAGGGUGGGCGGCCACACUGGGACUGAGACACGGCCCAGACGCCUGCGGGAGGCAGCAGUGGGGGGUAUUGCACAAUGGACGGAAGCCUGAUGCAGCGACGUCGCGUGAGGGAUGGAGGCCUUCGGGUGGUGAACCUCUUUCUCCGGUGGUGAAGGCCCUGUCCGGUGCGGCGGGGUUGACGGUAGCCGGGUAUGAAGCGCCGGCUAACUACGUG